rnacentral:tRNA from 1 species
CUACCCAUAGCUCAGUUGGAUAGAGCAUCAGCCUUCUAAGCUGAGGGUCACAGGUUCGAUCCCUGUUGGGUAGACCA